GGGGGAUUGGUGUAGUGGUAGCAUGACUGAUUCCAGUACGCAGAAUUCUAUUCGUAGUCUUCUAUUGGAAGUUCCAGUUGGUCAUCGGUUCAACUCCGGUAUCCCUCA